rnacentral:rRNA from 1 species
AGAGAGAGACAUGCGUGCAUAUCAAUAAGCGGAGGAAAAGAAACUAACAAGGAUUCCCCUAGUAACGGCGAGUGAAGCGGGAAGAGCUCAAAUUUGAAAUCUUAAAGGGUUUCCCUUUACGAAUUGUAGUUUAAAGAAGUGUUUUCUGUUGAGGUUUUGGUAAAAGUUCUUUGGAAUAGGACAUCAUAGAGGGUGAGAAUCCCGUAUUUGACCUUUACUUUCAACUUUGUGAUACACUUUCAAAGAGUCGGAUUGUUUGGGAAUGCAGUCCAAAAUGGGUGGUAAAUUUCAUCUAAAGCUAAAUAUUGGCGAGAGACCGAUAGCGAACAAGUACCGUGAGGGAAAGAUGAAAAGAACUUUGAAAAGAGAGUUAAACAGUACGUGAAAUUGUCAAAAGGGAAGCGUUUGACACCAGUGUUGUUUUUCUGAAAACUCAAUUAAAGAACUGUUUAUGCUAAGUUGUUUAGACUUUAUCAGCUAUCUGUUUAGUUUUGAGCUUUUCUUUAAUGCACUUUUCAGUUAACAAGUCAACAUCAAUUUCUUUUGCUGUAAAAAAGCUUGAGGAAGGUGGCUUGAGAUUCGUCUUAAGUGUUUAUAGCCUCUUGCCUAUGCAGUCGGAGAGAUUGAGGUCUGCAGCGUAGAUCCUUCGGGGCUAAAUGCAUUUGUGCUAAGUUAUAGCAUUUUAUAGACAACUUGUUGACUAUGAUUUGUCUUGUAGCUUACUCGCUUAUGUUAUUUUACCUACGCUUAGGAUGUUGAGCGCAUGUCUCUCUCU